rnacentral:RNase_P_RNA from 1 species
AAGCAAACUGGUUCUAUCGCUGUCCCGUCUCUGGCGGGAGAGAGGAAAGUCCGGGCAACAUAGAGCAACACGCUUCCUAACGGGAAGGGUUCCGAUUUGUCGGAAAACAGAAAGUGCCACAGAAAAUAUACCACUCCGACUUGUCGGAGUAAGGGUGAAAACGUGAGGUAAGAGCUCACGGUCUUGUAUGGUGACAUACAUUACGGUAAACCUCGUGUGUUGAAAGACCAAAUAGAUCGCAGAAUCUGAAGGCUGCUCGUCUUCUUCCGACCCGUCGGAAUCUGCGAAGGGUAGGUUGAUGGAUCCCGCGAGUGAUUGCGGGACUAGAUAAAUGAUAGAAGCCUCGAUGCGUCGGGGUACAGAACCCGGCUUAUAAGGUUUGCUUCUUU